UACGUAGGUCCCGAGCGUUGUCCGGAUUUAUUGGGCGUAAAGCGAGCGCAGGUGGUUUAUUAAGUCUGGUGUAAAAGGCAGUGGCUCAACCAUUGUAUGCAUUGGAAACUGGUAGACUUGAGUGCAGGAGAGGAGAGUGGAAUUCCAUGUGUAGCGGUGAAAUGCGUAGAUAUAUGGAGGAACACCGGUGGCGAAAGCGGCUCUCUGGCCUGUAACUGACACUGAGGCUCGAAAGCGUGGGUAGCGAACAGG
rnacentral:rRNA from 1 species